UACGGAGGAUGCAAGCGUUAUCCGGAAUGAUUGGGCGUAAAGCGUCCGCAGGUGGCUAUGUAAGUCUGCUGUUAAAGAGUCUAGCUCAACUAGAUAAGAGCAGUGGAAACUACAAGGCUAGAGUACGUUCGGGGCAGAGGGAAUUCCUGGUGUAGCGGUGAAAUGCGUAGAGAUCAGGAAGAACACCGAUGGCGAAGGCAGCUCGCUGGGACGGUACUGACGCUGAGACGCGAAAGCGUGGGGAGCGAACAGG
rnacentral:rRNA from 1 species